rnacentral:rRNA from 1 species
GAUGAACGCUGGCGGCGUGCCUAAUACAUGCAAGUCGAGCGAACAGAUGAGGAGCUUGCUCCUCUGACGUUAGCGGCGGACGGGUGAGUAACACGUGGAUAACCUACCUAUAAGACUGGGAUAACUUCGGGAAACCGGAGCUAAUACCGGAUAAUAUAUUGAACCGCAUGGUUCAAUAGUGAAAGACGGGUUUGCUGUCACUUAUAGAUGGAUCCGCGCCGCAUUAGCUAGUUGGUAAGGUAACGGCUUACCAAGGCAACGAUGCGUAGCCGACCUGGGAGGGUGAUCGGCCACACUGGAACUGAGACACGGUCCAGACUCCUACGGGAGGCAGCAGUAGGGAAGCUUCCGCAAUGGGCGAAAGCCUGAAGGAGCAACGCCGCGUGAGUGAUGAAGGUCUUCGGAUCGUAAAACUCUGUUAUUAGGGAAGAACAAAUGUGUAAGUAACUAUGCACGUCUUGACGGUACCUAAUCAGAAAGCCACGGCUAACUACGUG